AGAGUUUGAUCAUGGCUCAGGAUGAACGCUAGCGGCAGGCUUAACACAUGCAAGUCGAGGGGUAUAGGUUUUCGGACCUAGAGACCGGCGCACGGGUGCGUAACGCGUAUGCAAUCUACCCUUUACAGAGGGAUAGCCCAGAGAAAUUUGGAUUAAUACCUCAUAGUAUUAUUGAAUGGCAUCAUUUAAUAAUUAAAGUCACAACGGUAAAAGAUGAGCAUGCGUCCCAUUAGCUAGUUGGUAAGGUAACGGCUUACCAAGGCAACGAUGGGUAGGGGUCCUGAGAGGGAGAUCCCCCACACUGGUACUGAGACACGGACCAGACUCCUACGGGAGGCAGCAGUGAGGAAUAUUGGUCAAUGGGCGCAAGCCUGAACCAGCCAUGCCGCGUGCAGGAUGAAGCAUCUAUGGUGUGUAAACUGCUUUUGUACGAGAAGAAACACUCCUUCGUGAAGGAGCUUGACGGUAUCGUAAGAAUAAGGACCGGCUAACUCCGUGCCAGCAGCCGCGGUAAUACGGAGGGUCCAAGCGUUAUCCGGAAUCAUUGGGUUUAAAGGGUCCGUAGGCGGUUUUGUAAGUCAGUGGUGAAAGCCCAUCGCUCAACGGUGGAACGGCCAUUGAUACUGCAAGACUUGAAUUAUUGGGAAGUAACUAGAAUAUGUAGUGUAGCGGUGAAAUGCUUAGAGAUUACAUGGAAUACCAAUUGCGAAGGCAGGUUACUACCAAUAUAUUGACGCUGAUGGACGAAAGCGUGGGGAGCGAACAGGAUUAGAUACCCUAGUAGUCC
rnacentral:rRNA from 1 species